UCGGGGGCGGGGCUGAGCUUCCUUUCACACAGGUGACCUGGACCCACCCGUCUCGCUCUGGAAGGACCAGCGUCUCCGCGCCAUGGCCUCUGCUCCCGGCUCCUCCCAGGUCAUGAUGUGAACAGCCGAGGCUGGCAGUAACCGCCUUCCUGUCUCUGCUGUACCCAUGUCGGCUAAUCCAGCUGCACUUCUGGCGGUGCUGGAGGUUAAACGGCGCUGCGAGGCAAGAGGAGAUUAGUCUUGCCCCACGGGAGGCGAGCCCUGGAGCCGGUCGUACGGGGAGAAUGGAAGCUCAGAGACACUAAGGAAGCCGUGUGGUUGGUUGAUGAGAAGAGGACCGGGAUUCACCCGGGACCAGGCGGCCACCCAGGCCAGUUCCCCCACCGCCCCACAGGGAGAGCCUGGAGCCAGGGCAGAGGAAAGCUAGAGGCGGAACCCAGAGAAGCAAGGGCUUGCAGCCC